rnacentral:lncRNA from 1 species
GAGGAACCUAGAGAAACAAUUUUGUUUGGAUCUUGGUGCUGUCCCAGAUCAUCUGAUCUUGUUCUGUCUUACCCUUGCUGGAAUAAGCAAGCCUCCACAGUACAGUCCUGAACAUCAUGCCCAGUGGCAGGCUGGCCUUCCAGAGUUGGACCUGGUACCCAGGCUAAGUUAGUUUUGGCAGAAGACUUUUAACACUUCAGUGAAAGAGAGGAAAAAAGAGAAGGUGCAGAUCAGUGACUUGUUGCAAUUUGCUGUUUGUGGAUCUGUUACCUCUAGCAUUACAGAUGAACAGGAGCAGUAGAAAUUGCCUGUCCUGAGAUAAGAUAAAAACGCUUACCGUUUGGUAAUUUAGAGUUAUAUAAUAUAAUGCAUACAAAAGCAGGCUUAAUUAGGUUUCCUAUUAACAAAACUACUUUUUACUAAUACUAAGUUUAAGUUGUGUUUGGAUUUAAAAAUCCUAGUAAAUGGGAAAAUAUUUUCUUGGACUCAGUUAUGUCUCUUCUCAAUAGUACUGUCCUCAUUACCCUUUUUCUUUUAUCAGAAAGGCUUAAAUGUAUCAGAACAGUUCAAAUGUCUAUUUUGUUUUCAACUUCUUACCUUUUUCUACCUCCUGCUUAAUGGGAUGUGGGUUGCUUAGUAAUGUUAAAGCAUUUUCCAGAGCAGGUUUCCAUACCUGGAUGCAUUUCAUGAGACUUCAGUAGCCCAAGGCUGUCAUAACCUACCACAGGAGUACACAAGGUAGUAGAACUUACAUUAACCCUUCUAUUCAGACUUCUGAAAAUGCAUUUAGCAGCAUACCAGAUAUAGCUGACUAUUCUCUUCACUGGGCAGCUUUUCUGAAUGUGAGAUGAAAUAGAAGAGUUUAAGUUAACACCUACCAAUUAUCAAGUCCGUUGUUCGUCUCGAGAGCUGAGUAUCCAUAUUUCAUGCAGGUUAUAGCAUCCCUUUUCUGUAGAGGCAUCUAAAUCAGAAUAGGUUUUAUAAUGUGCUUAAGUCAGUAAAUUAUAACAUCUGAACCUGGCUAUCUAUAAAUGUUUUUCAGUGAAACUACUGUUUAAAAAAAAAAAAA